CGUAAUAAAUAUGCAGACACAAGAACUGUGUCUGCAACCCAUUGCUUAAGCUGUCUUAAAAAACCAAAAUAUCCACUUUGGUUAAUACAAAGAAGCUAGCAGGAACAGGCUGAAAGUUAACACACCAAGACAUAGUCACCUGAAGAGGAGAAAUGAGAGGGACAGAAUGUGCCACAGUCAAAACCCCACUCUUAGCAAGAAGAACAGAGGAAUAAAAACUAAUAAGAAGCAUUGGGCUCCUGUCUGAAACCAGUGAAGUGGGAGCCGAGCUGCUGCCGACUCGCCACAAAGGUGCUCGAUGAAAGCAGGGGUGUGGGGAUGCCUUUUUCAUGAAGCGCAUGCAGCCAGAGGAAACCCACAUGUGGGAUGCGAUGGAGGUGGGCAGAGCCCAUGCACACCCCCCGCUCUUAAACUGCUGUGUGAAAGGUAAAAGUUGGCUCAGACACACAGUGAUCCUGCACAAAACCCAAUGUAAAGCUGCUUCCCUACUGCGUGGGAGGUACGUGCACGCCCUGUGUGCACGUCCAGAGCAGAUGGAUGAGCAUCCAGAUGAUGAAGACUCGGAUGUUCUGGCUGGCCCCAGACUGAGAUGAGCAACAGGGUGAAGUAACCACUAGAUAGCAAAAGUGAGCCUCUCUGACAUCCUCAGUAGAAACAGGGACAGAUUAAUGCCAGUGUGUUGAGCCCUUUGAAAGCUGGUCUGAAAUA